rnacentral:rRNA from 1 species
AUUGAACGCUGGCGGCAUGCCUUACACAUGCAAGUCGAACGGCAGCGCGGGGGCAACCUGGCGGCGAGUGGCGAACGGGUGAGUAAUAUAUCGGAACGUACCCUGGAGUGGGGGAUAACGUAGCGAAAGUUACGCUAAUACCGCAUACGAUCUAAGGAUGAAAGCAGGGGACCGCAAGGCCUUGUGCUCCUGGAGCGGCCGAUAUCUGAUUAGCUAGUUGGUGGGGAAAGGCCUACCAAGGCAUCGAUCAGUAGCUGGUCUGAGAGGACGACCAGCCACACUGGAACUGAGACACGGUCCAGACUCCUACGGGUGGCUGCAGUCGAGAAUAUUCCUCAAUGGGCGAAAGCCUGAAGGAGCGACGCCGCGUGCAGGAUGAAGGCC